rfam:Oryza rufipogon genomic scaffold, chr04
CGUCAGUGUAACCAUAAGUUUCCGCGCUCAAUUUUAAUCGUUCGUUUUAUUUAAUUUUUUUAUAAUUAGUAUUUUUGUUGUUACGAGAUAAUAAAAUAUAAAUAGUACUUUACUCAUGACUUAUAUUUUUAAUUUUUUUAAAAAUUUUUUUUAAAUAAAACGAACGGUUAAAGUUGUGCGUGAAAAACAGAGGGCAUUUUGC